UUGACUCCACAUCAGAGGUAUCAGAAGCUCUCUGUAGAUUAAAAUCUGCCAAACUGCUGGUGCAGAUAAUCUUGGCCUGUAUCUUCUUUGUCUAAGCAUCCCCCUAAUCUGUCCAUACUGGGCACAAAAUGUUUGUAACAGACAUUAUUCCUGCUUCGUGGAGCAGCACUACAGUAAGUGGUGAUAUCUGGAAUCUUAACAGCUACUGUCCAAUAUCUAAAGUGCCUGUCUCACCAAAACUCCUAGAAUCACUGGUUAAAUGUCAGGUGGGCUCCUUUAUUGACUCACUAAACACACUACAGCCACAGCAGUCUGCUUUAACUGGUCACAGCACAAUAACAGCUGCAGUCUCAGUCAGUUAAUCUGAUCCCUGAUACAAACGGCACCAGGAGUUUAUCCACUCAUGUGUUUUUGUUUCAGUCUGUCUGUGUGAAGCAUCAAACUGUCUGUCUCUUUGUCAUGUCUGUCUCUGUUUAGGUGAACAGAGUGGAGUGUGUGAGUUCACUGAACGCUCCUCACUAAUAUGGCGCCAUCUGGUGGAACAAUAGGAAAGACGUCUUUAAGGACGACGACCUUCUUCAGAGUAAGUAGAAUUAUUUAUUGAUGUGACUGAUACUGUGGACCUCCUGUGUACUUAUUAUUUCAUCUGCUGACAUGUUUUAUUGUGUGUGAAGCCUCACAGAGAGAUGAGAGGAGCAGCUAUGAGUUUAAGUGCAGCAGCCAGUGGAUUUGUUGUCUUCCUCCUCUCUGUGUCAGUGGUACAGGGUCAGGAUGGCUGGGCAGUGACUUACACUCCUACUGAGAUCUGUGCCUUAAGAGGAUCAACAGUGGACAUGAGAUGCACCUACAAAUACCCAUCCAGGAUGAAUGGCCUGAACACCACCGUUGAGAGAAAAUUCUGGC